AAUCCUGGAACUGGACUUGCAGGGAAAGCAGCCAGCAGCAGCCAGGUCUCUUCCCGGGACUUCAAGGCUGCCAGUCUCUUCUAGAAUUUCACUUUCUGUUUCCUGGAAAGGCCAAGUCUUCCCUAUACUAGGCUCCACCCAGGGUCCCGACACCCUGGCACCUACUGCAUCUGGUACCCUGUCCCAGGCUAUCAGGUGGCAGGAAAGCCCUUCCAAAGGGCUUUGUUUAUGCUGGGAAGUGUGGGAAGAAAACUUCUGGUGCUGGAUUGCAAGGCGCCCAGGGAGGAGAGGCUCUCGCAACAUGUCUACACCGCUGCCUGCUGUGACAGUGAAGCUUGUGGAGCUGCGGAGCUGGGAAAGCAUUUCACACAGGUCCUGGACUGGCCAUUCUUCCCACACAACCCUUGCAACCAAAAGAGCUCAAAGGCACACAGCUCAGAACUCUUGCUGAAUAAGCUGUGGAUGCCUGUUCCUGUGGAAGGCCCUGUGAGGACAACGAGUCUCUUAACUGGUUCCUGGUCAGAUGUGGUGGUACAUGCCUUUAAUGUCAGCACUCAGGAGGCAGAGGCAAGCAGGUCUCUGAGUUUGAAGCCCAGGGCUAUGACCUAGCCAAGAGAGAAACCGUGACUUCAAUAAAACCAAAAAAGAACUAGUCCCUGGGCAGUAUAACUCGCCUGGUUGUGUAUGACAUGUUGGGUUCAAUCCCAGUGCCACGCUGGUGCAUGCUGAUGAUUCCAGCUCGGGGAAACAGAAGCAGGGAGAUCAUGAGUUCAUGGUUAUCAGCAGCUGCUGAUUGGCACCAAUUUUUUAGGAAAUAAUUUCCUAAAAUUUUUAUCUGAGAUGUAAGCACAAAGAUUUAGUCUCACAAAAUCAAUAGUUGUAACAUGAAUACUUAUAAAUUGCCUUAAUGCUGUACACGUGAUAAGUCAAAUAGAAUAUUAUGCAACCUUCCAAGAGAAAGCAGGUGGAUGUUAAUGAUGUGGAAAGAUGUUAAUUACUAAGGAAAAAUGAGAUACAAGUUACUAAGGAAAAAUGAGAUACAAGUUUGAGUUUUAUUGCUAGUUUGAGUUUUAUUGCUGCGAAGAAACACCAUGACCAAGGCAACUUUUAUAAAGAAAAUAUUUAAUUGGGGCUGGCUUACAGUUUCAGAGGUUUAGUCCAUUAUCAUCAUGGCAAAAAGCAUGACAGCAUGCAGGCAGACAUGGUGCUGGAGAGGAGCUGAGAGUUCUGCAUCUUGAUCCCCAGGCAGCAGUAGGAGCGGGUUUGGUUGCCUUACUGUGAUGUUUGGACUUACUGUGAUCUUGGGCCUCCAGGUUGGCUCUCCUAUUCACUGAGUAGCUAAGGAUGAUCUUGAACUCCUGAGUGCUAGGGUAUGAACCAGCACAACUUGUUCUGAAAUAAAAACUUUAAUCAUUAAAU